UACGUAGGGGGCGAGCGUUGUCCGGAAUUGCUGGGCGUAAAGGGCGCGUAGGCGGCCUGCUAAGUCGAACGUGAAAUCCCCGGGCUCAACCCGGGAACUGCGUCCGAUACUGACAGGCUUGAAUCCGGGAGAGGGAUGUGGAAUUCCAGGUGUAGCGGUGAAAUGCGUAGAUAUCUGGAGGAACACCGGUGGCGAAGGCGGCAUCCUGGACCGGCAUUGACGCUGAGGCGCGAAAGCUAGGGGAGCAAACGGG
rnacentral:rRNA from 1 species